CCAGAAAUCAGACCUGAUGUUUGCACUUCCUCGUGUCGCUCUGGACCUGUCCGAAAAUCCGAAAAUACCCCCUUCUCCUCUCUUUUUUAGGUGUCAGUUCUGUCAGUUCUACGCCGCGAUGACUCCCUCUGGAAUGGACCUGAACGCCAUACCGAAGGUUGUCUUCAAGGUCAAAAACAGCAGAAAGUUCAUGCCGCUUUUCUACCCCGCCCGGACCUGUCCAGCCCCUCUGGGCGAGGAGAUUUCGCAACGCGCAUGCUUUCC
rnacentral:sRNA from 1 species